GGAAAAAUAUGAGACUAUGUGGUGAUUGAUGUGAGCUAGACUUAUAUGACGUAUAUUUUGCAAUAUAUACAGAUACUGUAGCUCGAUUGGUAAAAAACCCGCCUGCAAUGCAGGGGACCCCAGUUCAAUUCCUGGGUCCAGAAGAUCAGCUUGGAGGAGGGAUAGGCUAUGCACUCCAAUAUACUUGGGCUUCCCCUGCAGUUCAGCUGGUAAAGAAUCUGCCUGCAGUGCGGGAAACCUGGGUUUGAUACUUGGGUUGGGAAGAUCCCCUGGAGAAAGGAAAGGCUACCCACUCCAGUACUCUGGCCUAGAGAAUUCCAUGGACUAUGUAGUUUCAUGGGGUCACAAAGAGUCAGACACAACUGAACAACUUUCACUUUCACUUCACUCUCACAAAUUAUGUUGUACACCUGAAACCAAUAUAAUGUUAUAUGCCAAGUAUACCACAAUUUAAAAAAAUCUUAAAUUUGUAUUAUUACCUGAAUAUAUCAUUUGAUUUCAGACAAAAACUGAUAUUUUUUUACAUAUUUUUCUUAUUUCAUCAAUAAAAUGUUCCCUUCUGCCCAGUUUUAAAAGGAGAAAUUCAGAUUUAACUGAAAUUAAGAUUUAAAGCGAAGCUCUUUGGAUUUAUCUGUGCUUGUCAUCAGUAUCAGCUAAAAAAUAAAUUAGUCCACAAUUACAUCAUGUUGUUUAUUUUUCUUGUUAGGUUGAAAAAAUGGUCAAUAUAAUGAAAGUAGAAAAGACAAAUAUCAUAUCAAGUCAUGACGAUUCAGUAAUAAUACAGGAAAGCUAACAGAAAUGUCUUAUUUAAAAUAUUUUUAGUUAAAGGAUGUUCUAUGAAAAUAUUACCCUAAUUCUUAUUUGCUUAUAGAUCAGGUGCUUGAUGAAAGUAUCAAAUGAAAUAAUUAUGCAGAACAGAGUGAUAUAAAAGGUGGAUUAAAUUUUUGGAUAGGUGGUUUACUUUCCUAAUUACCCUAGUGAUGGUUUAAUCUACUACCAUUUGUUUGCACUUGCAAUAGCCAAAUACUAAUAAAUUUUGAGUAAAUGGGAAAGAUUCUUUAUACAUUUGGACUAAACUGGGAAAUAAGAGCUAAAUUACAUAAAACAUUUUUUGUUAAAUAAAUUUAAAACUAUGUUUAAUCAAUAUUGCCUUUUGUUGACUUAAAUCUGAAUACUAUCUAAAUAAAGGCAAGAGAUAGAAAAAUAUUGAAUUGCUAAUUGAAAAACCUGUUCAUUUCAGUCUAGAAUUAGUCCUUUUGUCAAUCUUUCUGUCUGUGCAGAUACUUGCGAGUAAAAAAUGAUUCUAAACUAAGGCAAUACCAUCCUUUACUGACAGUUGAGUAGGAUGAAAACUUCAUAACUUUCAUAUAAUUGACUUUCAUGAACAAGACAAAACCAAAUUUUAUUUUCAAAUUAAAUGUUUUAUUUGAAAUUGAACAGAUAAUCCAAUCAGUUUCAAAAGCAAAAUUAGAGGAUUCUAGGAUUAUGAUGGAGAGAUUGAAGUAUAUUGAAGAGGUGUGCAAAAUUCUAAGAAGUUAGAUGCUUCUGUGCACAUAACUCCAGAAUGAUCUUUGUUGUCCUACAAUUGAGAUCAGAUUUGGAAAGUUCUUACAACUUCAGAUGUUGGAGUGGGAUAUCAGUAGAAGCUAGAGAAUCCAUAUCUUCCAAAGGAAGAUGGGCAGCGAUUGUAGCCAUAUCCAAAGCUUCCAAAUCCAGAGCCACAUCCAUAGCCUCCAAAGCCAGUGCUGAAGCCCAGCCUGCGGAAGCUGCCGCAUCCACAGCCCCGGCCAAAACCCAGGCCGCCAAAGCCUCCGUAGCCGUAGCCCAGGCCGCUGUAGUAGUUGCUGUAAUGGCACAUGGUGACAGGGGUGGUGAGUUUGGUUUGCUGUUCAAAGCAAGAACUUGC
ensembl:lncRNA